rnacentral:rRNA from 1 species
AUACGGAAGGUCCGGGCGUUAUCCGGAUUUAUUGGGUUUAAAGGGAGCGCAGGCGGAGAUGCAAGCGUGACGUCAAAUUUCGGGGCUCAACCCCGUCUCGCGUCGCGAACUGCGUCCCUUGGUUGCGGGAAGGGGAGGCGGAACUCGUGGUGUAGCGGUGAAAUGCAUAGAUAUCACGAAGAACUCCGAUCGCGAAGGCAGCCUUCCGGCCCGUCAACGACGCUCAUGCUCGAAGGUGCGGGUAUCAAACAGGAUUAGAUUCCCUGGUAGUCCGCACAGGAAACGAUGGACACCCGCGGUUUGGCCUGUAUGGCUGAGCCGCCAAGCGAAAGCGUUAAGUGUCCCACCUGGGGAGUACGCCGGCAACGGUGAAACUCAAAUGAAUUGGCGGGG